rnacentral:lncRNA from 1 species
GGACAUUUAUAUAUAUAUAUAUAUAUAUAUAUAUAUAUGUAUAUAUAUACAUAUUAGGGCUGUCAAAAAACAAAACGCGCAUUGAAAGAUUUACAGCCGUCAGUGGCACCUGUAGUCUUGAUCCAGAGGGUGGCAGAAAGGGAAUCAGAAGAAGAUGCAGCAGGGAUGGCGGUUCGGGAAAAACACGGUGGACUGAAAAGUGAGGAAAUUGAGAAAGGACUUACCGUAAAAUACCAAAUAAUAGCCGGGGGGUUUAGUUGUUUCAAUCACUUAACAGACCAAAAGGCAAUUUGGGACAGGCGUUUAAUUCCUUCCUCACAAUAAUCCUGGAUGAAAACAUUACAAACUUCUCCAGCUUCUCGGUGAAUUCUCUGGCAUCCUCCUGUAAGUGAAGUUGCUGCGGCGGAGGAAACGAUUCAGCCAACCAGCACUCGCUGCAAACUCCUCAUCUCUGCUGUCACUCACGGUGGCGGACAUUUGUUUCUCCAUCGUCCUGAUAAUUCUGCGGGACACUCUCUCGUGGCGUGCCCGUUUGCUGAUAACUCAUCCCCGCAUGUUUAUCUCAGGCUCCUCGCUAGCCUUCUUCCUCCCUCCAGCAGGCAGCCUGGCCCUGUUGCUGUCCUCCUCGGACAGACGCUCAAGCUCCGUUUCUCUCACUCUCUUCUGGUCGACAGAGAAACAUCUAGCGGCUGCUUCUCCCGAGUUUUCCUCUGCAUAUUUUAACAGAAAGUUUGAAUUUCAAAGGAAAACUCGGGAGAAGCAGCCGCUAGAUGUUUCUCUGUCGACCAGAAGAGAGUGAGAGAAACGGAGCUUGAGCGUCUGUCUGAGGAGGACAUCAACAGGACCAGGCUGCCUGCUGGAGGGAGGAAGAAGGCUAGCGAGGAGCCUGAGAUAAACAUGCGGGGAUGAGUUAUCAGCAAACGCGCACGCCAUGAGAGAGUUCCGUUCCGUUCCGUUUUCUUUCCGCUUAUCCAUGAGGGUCGCGGGAUGUUGCCGCUUUUUUCCCCCCUAAGGGGUUGCGGGGCUUACUGGGGCCAAAUCCAGUCUUACUCUAUGGGCGUAGGCCAGGGUACACCCUGGACGAGUCGCCAGCUCAUCGCAGGACCCUUACUGAUGGCAGUGGCUGCCUUCACAAGGUGCCAACUGCACAUCAGGAGCAACUUCGGGGUUCAGUAUCUUGCUCAAGGAUACUUCGACUUGUAGCUCAGUCCCGCCCUGGGGAGCUGGGAUUCGAACCAGUGAUCUUCUGAUCACCAGUCAACCAGCUCUACCCACUGAGCUACAGCCGCCCCUUGAGAGAGUGAGAGUGAGCCAUGAGAGAGUGUCCCACAAAAUGAUCAGGGUGAUGGAGAAACAAAUGUCCGCCACCGUGAGUGACAGCAGAGAUGAGGAGUUUGCAGCGAGUGCUGGUUGGCUGAAUCGUUUCCUCCGCCGCAACAACUUCACUUGCAGAAGGAUGCCAGAGAAUUCACAGAGAAGCUGGAGAAGUUUGUGACAUUUUCAUCCAGGAUUAUUGUGAGGAAGGAAUUAAACGCCUGUCCCAAAUUGCCUUUUGGUCUGUUAAGUGAUUGAAACAACUAAACCCCCCGGCUAUUAUUUGGUAUUUUACGGUAAGUCCUUUCUCAAUUUCCUCACUUUUCAGUCCACCGUGUUUUUCCCGAACUGCCAACCCUGCUGCUUCUUCUUCUGAUUCCCUUUCUGCCACCCUCUGGAUCAAGACUACAGGUGCCACUGACGGCCGUAAAUCUUUCAAUGCGCGUUUUGUUUUUUGUUUUUUUAUACCGAGCGUUAAUCGCGCGUUAAAAAAUUAACGGCGUUAAGAGGAUGUUGCGUUAACGCGUUAUUAACGCGUUAACUUUGACAGCCCUAAUAUAUAUAUAUAUAUAUAUAUAUAUAUGGUGGUGGAGUGAUUAUUAUUAGUGUAUUAUUAUC